UCAGAUGGCUCAGAUAGUAAAGAAUCUGCCUGCAAUGCAGGAGACCUGGGUUUGAUCCCUGCAUCUGGA
rnacentral:tRNA from 1 species